rnacentral:rRNA from 1 species
CAGGCGGUUUGUUAAGCGAGAUGUGAAAGCCCCGGGCUCAACCUGGGAACUGCAUUUCGAACUGGCAAACUAGAGUGUGAUAGAGGGUGGUAGAAUUUCAGGUGUAGCGGUGAAAUGCGUAGAGAUCUGAAGGAAUACCGAUGGCGAAGGCAGCCACCUGGGUCAACACUGACGCUCAUGUACGAAAGCGUGGGGAGCAAACGGGAUUAGAUACCCCGGUAGUCCACGCCGUAAACGAUGUCUACUAGAAGCUCGGAACCUCGGUUCUGUUUUUCAAAGCUAACGCAUUAAGUAGACCGCCUGGGGAGUACGGCCGCAAGGUUAAAACUCAAAUGAAU